UCUCAAGUCUUCUUGUCUUCUCCCUAUCCCAAAAAAGAAAGUCUUGUCUUCUCCAAAGCUCCCACUCCCAGCCAUGGAAAAGGAUGAGCCAGCCUGGAUCUACCGCAUAUGUGAGGAUCACCUCGAAGCUCCCCUCAGUCUCCUCUCCUACUUCGUGGUCCUCACUCACACACCUCGUGGUUGGGACUGCGCAUAGUUUGCUUGCGCGCAUGCCGCGUCGAUCUCCAGGGCCGUCAACGGGUAUCAGGGCCCUGAUAUCAGCUACGCGAGGGAGGAUGCGAGCUCGUCGUACUCGACGGCGCAGUUGCCGCCGGCUUCAAUUGAGGCAUUGAAGGAGUGGAUCUCGUUCCCCUUAGCUCCUGUAGGUUGUGGUUGUCGGGAUCCUGGGGUUGUUAUCCGUCCCCGAGUGCCGGGCCGGAGGCAUCGUAGUUGUCCCCAAGCGGGCACGCCGACGCAUCGUCUUCAUUUUUGAUAGUCGCAACCCGACUUCAGUGUCGCAUUCUUUCACCUGCAGGUGCAAAGGGAUUAGAAGAUGCUUAUGGGACAACUGUGAAUGUUGACGGGAAAUAGCUAUUUCAAAGUUUGAUUAAGAAAGUCACAGUAAUCAAAAUCUUAGGUGGAAAAUUAUAGAUGUCCAUGGACACUAAUGGCCAGGAACCAAUAUUUUAUUGUCGGAUGGUUAUUCUCCUUUCAUGUACGUUGCAUGUGACAAAAGAAUCAACUUGAUGAUGCUUAUGUAUAUUUUGGCAUCAAAUAUCAACUUCUAUGUGUGUUGUUAAUUGAUGAAUAGAACAAUUAUGGUAACAAAAAAAGAGUUGAAUAGCAAAAACAAAAGGCUGUG